UAGAUUUUGGGUUAGGAUGUUACAUGAUGUCCCUAAACGCACCACUGACAUCCACACCUUUCAGCCGACAAUUACCUGGCUAUAAGAAACAGCUGCGCUUCACUACUGAGAGAAGGCAUUUGGCAGUCUUGGCAAUCUAAGGUGGCUGCAGCACUAGGCAGUUGAGCUCCACAUAUCUCUUAAGGAAAGCUACUCAGUUGCCCUUAGAGAGUGGUAAGUGCGACUUUUGUUUAUCAUACUGUGGCAUAGUAGGGUGGACUCUGACUACUGUUUCCCUCUCUUGUUGCAGGUGUGCAUUAGACUGCUGCUGUCUUGUCAGAUGCCGUUUUGUUUGUUAUGCACUACUUUUAUAACGUAUAGUGAUUUGGGAUGUGUUGGUUUUAUGUAGAUCUUUUAUUGAUUGUUUAACAUUUUAUCUUUUCUUUUAUUGCUUUAGUGGAGGUGCGGCCGCUUGUUCAGAGGCUAGGCACAUGAGGUGGAAUCCCCUCCCCGAUGCAUGCGAGUGUACACACCGGGCAUAGGCAGAUUGCACCCUUUAGAGUUUAGUGUGAGUGAGGUUUGCUGUGAAAUCACACGGAUUCAUUGAGAGUAACAAACUAGAGACUACAUCCAAAUAUGCCUUCAGAGGACUGAGGGACCUGACUCACUUGUCUUUGGCAAAGAAUAACAUUAAAGCCUUGCCCAGGGACCUCGCCAUUGACCUUGACUCCCUUAAAGAGCUAUUUCAUCCUUCAUCAGUCUGUUGCCUCAGAAUCGUUGUCUGUUGACACAUUCAGCUAUAAGAAUGAUGUCUACGUGGCCAUUUCUGCUCCCAGCACAGAGAGCUGUAUGAUUUUCCAGUGGGACCACAUAGAAAUGAACUUCAGGACUUAUGAUAACAUCACAGGUCAGUCUAUUGUGGGGUGCAAAUCUGUCAUCAUCGAAAAUGAGGUGUUUGUCAUUGUGGCUCAGCUGUUUGGUGGUUCCCACAUUUACAAGUUUGAUGACGAGCAAAGCAGGUUCAAAGAGAAAGGACCUUAUAAACUGUUAAAUAUCCACACCUUCAUAGUUUUCACUCACAAAUUAGAGCUGGGUCAAGAUGUAUCGUGACUAUUUCUGAAUGGCCUUGCACUCAUGGAUCCUCAGACUUUCUGAAGUACUACCCUUUCAUAACUACUUCUAUUCUCUUAAAAAUACCACUGAAGUUCAUGACGGGUUAAAAAAGAGACAUUUAAUUGAAUCUAUCUGGAUUUAUCUUUUAUUGUUUAAUAUCUUUCUCUCAGUAGUUUUAUGCAGCUAUAAAAAUACAUCAGGACCUGAAUGAACGUAACAAAUUUAUUCUGAUUUGCGGUGACUGAUGAUGGAUUGAAUGAUUUUGCCACCUACCUGUAUCCUCAUACCCUGUGGUAACGUACAGUACCUUGCCUUAUCAACACUGGGGUCUUUUGUUUGAUGGUUACACAGUGCCUCCUUCUGGCCGUGAUGAAGUACCACACCCCUCUUCUCUUUCCAUUACAGGGAAUGUCUAGAAAGCACAAACCUUUAAUUAUCAUAGCUGAGAUCAUAGAGUGUAGCCGUUUGUUGGAAGGUGUCUUUGUAGAUGCUGUAGAUUAUAAUGCAUACAGUAGGAAGCAGUGGUUUGUUGUUACAGUUAGUAAAAUAUCCAGGACUUGACCUUAUACAAAUUCAUUAAUGGAGAAUCGCCAUUUAGAUACAACUUUUAGAUCUGCUGUAAUAUAAUGUGGCAAAGUACAGAGAAACUUUAUCAGUAUUGCAACGCAGCUGUGUUUAGAUGAUGUCAGGGAAAAUAAACCUCCUGAUAUGUUCAAAAGAAAAACAGUUUUGCCCAAAUAACAAUAUUUUUUUUUCUAACAUCUGAAGUCAGAAGCAUCAGAGGCAGAAUUUGUAUGACCAAAAGGAAGGAAAAUAAAUGUACAUGUAAAUAUAUCUUCAAGCUUUCAAAUUUUUAUUCUGCUUUUGGAAAUGCUGAAUGUUGACAAGCUCCAAAAUGUACAUAAACCAAGGAUUGUAAUGUCACCACCUGUUUGAAUGGACCUUUGCACUUACAAAACUGAAAUGUUACUGCAGCCUGCAAGAGCAUGACAUUCAAAAAAGGGUGUUUGCCAUAUUCUUUUUCGAUAAACCUAACAAAGACUAAAAGUGCUUCUAGGUUAACAAUAUGCAAGCGUUACAAUUCUUUUGUAUGAUUUUGUUUAAGCCUAAUGAAUGUUCCUCUUACAAAUAUGAUGUAAUGUCAAAAUAAAUCUGUGAAAACAUGACAAAUUUAUUUAUCCCACUGUAGUGAUUAAUCACUGAUACUGAUCAUUAAA